rnacentral:SRP_RNA from 3 species
CCGUGCUAGGUGGGGAGGUAGCGGUGCCCUGUACUCGCAAUCCGCUCUAGCGAGACCGAAUUCCUUUCCGAGGCUGGCACUCUGUAGGGCUGCCUCAAGUAAGUGGUGUUGACGCCUGGGUCCUGCGCAAUGGGAAUCCAUGAACCAUGUCAGGUCCGGAAGGAAGCAGCAUUAAGUGGAAGCUCCCAUGUGCCGCAGGGUUGCCUGGGCCGAGCUAACUGCUUGAGUAACGCCUAUGGAUGCUUGUCGACGAAAGGUGCACGG